UUAUCAAAAGGUGUGACGUCUAAUCCUCAUGCUGAGAAAAGAAUCGCCACUGAAUUUUCACAAAGUUCGUCCAAAAUACUUGCAAAAACUGGAUGAAAUGCAACCAUGAGAUUCCCAUUAUCUGAGGUACUCUCAACAACAUGACAUGUACGAAGAGAAAAAUCAAAGGUAAGUAAAGGGAUAUCAAAAGGGCAGAGCAGAUUUACCACAAGAUUUGGUUGUAACAGAACAGUUUUCAGCAGGAAGAGGUCCUCUUGUUUCAACUUUGUUUAACAAUGAAUGGGGCCUACCCCUGCGCUUUGUCGACUUCCGCCCCCUGAAUUCGACACGGGAAAGUUUCCCUGAUUUGAGGAUUGGAAGUGACUAUUUUGAGAUUGUCUAUUUUGCCUUGUCAGAGCCUGAUUUCUGUACAGGAGAUGAGGUACCGGACCGUUGAUACUCAUCACAAGUGAUGUCAUCAUUCAGAUCGCAGGACCUGCACCCAUUCUCCUCAGAAGCUUCAAAUUGGCUGUUUUUAUUUGACAUUUUGACUUUUGUUAUGGCAACACAAAUUUUGUGUUUAUAUGUCAAUGUGCUUGUCGUUGUCAAUAGACUUAACAAGACUUAGUCAAUAUUGUGAGAUCCUGAUGUAGACUUUCGAUCAACCAGAAUAAAAGGAAGACUUUAUCCCACUUCUGACACCAAUUGUUACGACUUACGGCUUUAUAUGUUUAGCGGCGUAACAUUGUGGGGCUCCUUAAUCUGAAUGUUGAACGAAAGACAACAGGAUAUAAUUUGUUUUUAAUAUUUUAUUAGAUUUUAUUCAAUAAACAUACAAAAAUA